GUUUUUGUUACUUGUUCGUCUCUGAUUUCUUCGUUUUUCGACGAACCCCAUUUUCAUUUCUCUUCAAUUUUUUAUUCUUUUGCUGUAUAAAGAGCGACCCAGAUCGCAAUUCUGCAUCAUUCGAUGUUUUUCGUAUCUGGGUUUUUGAUUUUGUGUUGAAUCGUUCUGUUUUGAGGUUAAUUUUUUGAGUUCUGAUGACGACG
rnacentral:misc_RNA from 1 species